rnacentral:rRNA from 1 species
UACGGAGGGUGCAAGCGUUGUCCGGAUUUAUUGGGUUUAAAGGGUGCGUAGGCGGCCUUUUAAGUCAGUGGUGAAAGCCGACAGCUCAACUGUCGAACUGCCAUUGAUACUGAAAGGCUUGAGUACAUACGAGGUAGGCGGAAUUGAUGGUGUAGCGGUGAAAUGCAUAGAUACCAUCAAGAACACCGAUUGCGAAGGCAGCUUACUAGUCUGUAACUGACGCUGAGGCACGAAAGUGUGGGGAUCAAACAGG